rnacentral:rRNA from 1 species
AUGGACGCAUCUCGCGCCCGCUCCUCCUCCAACCCCACUCCCACCAGGCGUCGUCUCACCGUUCCCGUUCAUGGGCGGCCUUCACCAACCCCGCUGCCGGCACACCCUGGUGAAUGGCGGUCCCGCCCGGCCGUCUCAUGGACCGUGGAGAACAUCUAUGAGGACUUCUCUGGUCGCCGCAGCGCGCUCGUCCAAGCCCUCACCACAGAACAGGAUACAUUAUAUGAUUUAUUGCGCGAGGAAGGUAAAGAGCCAAUGUGCUUGUACGGGUACCCGGACGGUAGUUGGGAGUUGACGCUGCCGGAGGAGAUGGUGCCGCCAGGCCUGCCGGUGCCGACACGAGGCAUCAACCGCCGGCAAGAUUAUGUGAACCGUUCUGACUACCUGACACUCGUCGCCCACCACUCCGACUCGUGGCUCAUGGGUGUCACCUUUUUCUUGUCCACUCAUCUCGACGCCAACCAAAGGAUACAUUUAUUUAAUAUGGUAAACGAGAUGCGAACAGUCCAUGACGAAUUCUAUCUCUCUUACGGUCUUCCUUGGCUAUCAACAUUUGCGCGAUACAAUGCAAACAGGGAGUCGAGCGCACCAACUCAAGAGAAUGUGUCCAAUCCAGACGUAGACUCUAUCACACCUGCUGAAGAGAACGUGCCACCUUCUCAAGACUCGAUGCAUGUUUUGUCUGCUCAAAACAGGGACUCUAGGAAGCCUGCUGAAGACAAACAAAAGGAUAAUGAAGUUACCGACUUUUGCGGAUCUUGUAAUGCUCCGUAUCAUGCCAAUGCCUUUUGGAUUUGUUGUGACGAAUGUGACCAGUGGUUCCAUGGCAAAUGUGUGAACGUAACUGCCUCUGAAGCAGAACAUAUCAAAGAAUACAAGUGUCCUGACUGCAUCCGCGAGGUGAUCGGAGAGUAG